rnacentral:rRNA from 1 species
UCCCGCACCAAGCGCAACUCUUGCCUUUAAUUGCUACCAUUCAUUGGGACUUAGAGGGACUGCCGAGGAUAACUCGGAGGAGGUGGGAAUGAAGUCAAUUCUCAUGCCCUUUAUGCUUAGGGCUACACACGUGCUAAAUGGGUGGUACAGAGGGUUGCCAAGCCGCGAGGUGGAGCUAAUCCCUUAAAGCCAUUCUCAGUUCGGAUUGUAGGCUGAAACUCGCCUACAUGAAGCUGGAGUUACUAGUAAUCGCAGAUCAGAAUGCUGCGGUGAAUGCGUUCCCGGGUCUUG